rnacentral:lncRNA from 1 species
UGGAAAUUGAGGAGGCCCAGAACAGGCUGCUUGAAAGCUAAAGAAUCCGGGAUGCCAGUAGCAUGGCUCAGUCCAAAUCUAAAGGCCUGAGAACCUCAGGUAGAGGAGGAUUCUGAUGUAAUUCCUGGAGUUCAAAAGCCAAAGACUCUAGAGUUCUGAUAUCCAAGGGAGGAGAAGAAGAAUGUAUGCCAGCUCCUGGAGACAGAGAGAUUUCCUAGAUGCCAUCAUGUGAGCAGCCAGGUCUUCCCACCAUGCCUUCCUGCCUUGAAGCCGGCCAACUAUCGACUAAAAAUAUGAGCCAAAAUAAAUCUCUCCUUGUUUAAACGUGCAAGCAAAGUAAGUACCUGUGGCCAAAGAAUGGAAAGUCAUGAGUUCCUGGGCAAGAAGUCAUCUACCAUAGAUAAGCUCUGUGGUUUAAUUCUCCCUCGUUUCAAAGGCAAGAGAUCGCAACACUGACAGAGGCAGGAAAGCACUGUGGGAAGGGAAGGAGCGUCAGACUCUGGGACGCCCUUUACAGCAACAAAAUCCCUGAAGUCUAGGUAGGCAUGUGGCUGCUGAAAAUAAAAAGUACAUUUCCCAGAAUCCCAUUUGAUUCCAUUCUGGCCAAUCAAUUGGGCAUAAGCCAAAGUUGUGGAAGCAAGUUCCAGGAAGUGUCCUUAAAGAAGAAGGAUAAAAUACUUGAGGCUGAAGAAGGUAUGAUUCACCUCGGUCAUGGAACAAAGGCACAGUGAGACUACAAUCAGAUGUGUUCUGCCUGUUCAGUCAGCCACCUGAAGCUGACCCCCGGAGGUGGAGCGUUAGCAGAUGGUCUCCAAAGGCAUUUUCUGGUAAAAGACAAGCUAUGGUCCUCCACCGCAAGCUUGUUUCCAAGUCUCAGGGAUGUUCUCAGGUCCAUUAAUAAUACUCUCUUUUUUUG